AGCACUAUUAGGGGCAGCUGUGGUGGUUGAACAAGCAGCAGCAGCAGCAGCAGCAGCUACUACUACUACUACUGUUGUUUCACCCAUAGGUGACAGAAGGCUGGGGCUAACAGGGCUUAGACCCCCAAACAUGGGGCAGUGGUAACAGUGCACACUCCAGGCCCCAGCUCCAGGGAGCUACAGCAGGGGUGGAGGGGCAUGCAGACACAGACACGCAGCUGCAGCCUGCAGGCAGCCAGGAAUGCAGCCUGGCAGCAUGUAGAGCAGCACCCAGUAGGUUAAGAAAAACUUGUGACAUAAGACAGAAAAAAGAUAAUCUUCCCGAGAAAGAAAAGUGGAUUUCUCCUCUGUGAUGGACUGCAUCUGCAUUACACAUCAAAGUACUGUCUCCAGCAGAUAGAUGACCUACAAAUGGGCAGGUUCAGUACAGGAAAAGAAAUCCCAACAACUGCCUGGCUACACAAACCCUAUUAUACAAAACAUAAGAAAAAUGAAAUAGAGGUGUUGCAACUUAUGUAACAAACUGCAAAAAUCAGCUGUGAAACCCACCAGAUACUUAUAAAGUCCCCCCAUUACUACAGCGGCUGGUUCUCUCAAAGUUUUAUGCAGUUAUCUUAAAACACUCCACUGAGGCAGGGAAGCACUACAAUCAUGGUUGUACAGAUGAGAUGGACUUCUGAAGCACAAAAAAGCAAAGGACUUUUUUCAGCUGGAGUUUCUUUGCAGGGAAAGAGCAUAGAAGACUUUAAAGAAAAAAAGCAUCACUUGGUGCCAUAAAUUAUCUAGGACUUGAUCCUGCCUUUAUUGCUUGAAGUCAAUGGGAAAUACGUGUGCAUAGGAAAAGCAGAACUGAGCCCUCGGCAAGCAUCUGUGUGUUUUUUAAAGGAAUCUUUUAUGAUAAAAUAGAAAAAGAGGGAAAUCAGUACUUCAUAAGCAUCAAAUCCAUUUCAGCUUAAACCUGACCAUGCAAUUAUAUAGAUGGCUUUUCUCACAUAAAUAGAUCCAUUGAUCAGCUUUAUUCAUGUGAGCAGAGUUUUGUUAUUGUAUCAUUUUCCACCUUGCAAAUAAGGCUUGAUCUGCCAAACGUACGCUUAACUUUAUACGGGUAAGUCAUCCUAUUUUAAUGCAAAUAUCCAUAUGCAUAAGGUUGCAAGAAAGAGAUCUAAACCUGAACUUGGGGAAAACUAAAACAAAAAGUAACCUGGAAAAUGUAAAUGCAUAUAAUUUAAAUGCCUUGCGCAUAAAAAAUAUAAGAAAAUGGAUAGACUAGAAUUGUCCAGAAGACAUUUUUAUUAGCCCAGAAAAAGUGUGUGGUACUUUUUGUGUACAAACAACAUUUUCCAUAGCUGUUUUUAAGUCUUUUCUCUUUCUCUUUUUUUCCCCUGUCCUUCUCCUCACGCAAACCCCAGCUUACUCUGAACAUUUUAGAAAAAAUGUAAUCAAAAUUAGAUUGUUUAAUAGGAAAUAAUCUUUUAGAUAUGUUUAAUUAUUUUAAUUAUAUGUCUUUUUGUGCUUGAGUUUUUGCAUUUUUAAGUAUUUUGAGGGCCAUUAAUGAAGCUUUUUAUGUUUUUGCUUCCUUUCUUUUAAUUUAUAGAGAAUUCACAUGCACAGAGCAAGCAGUUGGGUUAUUUUCAUCAUUAUAGAGCUAAUAUUGUGCUUACAAUGAUAUCAUUCCUACUCUUCUACAAUACCUUACUAAUUAGGCUUAAAGGGUAUUUUUUUCCCAUUGUACUCAUAUACUGAUUGUUUCUUCACUACUCUUGGCUCUUCUGCCAGUACCGCCAGCUGCUCCUUCAUGCUUUUACUAUAUGAAGGACAUACAAUUUCUCUGAAAUGUCAAGAAAUUCAAUUAACUUUGGUUUGACCUUUUCUUCCCCUUAAGUGCACUGAUUUGAGCUGCUGUAUACAACACAGUAACAUUUUUUGUAUUAUAAAAGUAUUAACUUAAGAUACUAACAUCCAAAACAGUAAAUGCAACUAUUUCAGGAAAUACCAUAUUUUCUCAAAUCCAAGAUGAAGUCUCCCCACCACCCCCCGCAUUUAACACAAGGGGAAAAAAACCCUUGUCUUGGAUUCAAGUACCAGAUGGCAGGAUGACAAGUGGCUGCUGCAUCUUCAACUCCAGCCCCAACUCUGGGUUGUAAUUAUCACUGCAGACACAGUCCGCCUCCUGUCACAUCUGCCCAUGCCACUGCCUGCCCCCUGCAACCUCUGCUCCCCUGCCUGCCCCCUCCCACUGCCACCUCUGCUUCCUUCCCCCACUGCCACCAUUGCUUACCUCUCCAACUCCAACAUGAUGCAUGGGGCCCAGACUGGAGCUGCCACCCCCACAGCAACUGAUGCGUAGCUGAGCUGGGGCCAGAGCAACCAUGUGUUCUGUGCUCUGGGCUAGAGCAGGGACAGAGCUGUGCUGGAGCUGGAGGGGUAAAUGACAGUGGCAGGGAGGGGGAGAUAGGUGGGAGGGGCUGGCAGGGGAGCAGAAGCUGCAGGGGGCAAGUGGUGGCUGUGGGGAAGGGAAGGCAUUGGCGAGGGAGAUGCCAGGAGAUGCAGGCUUGUGGGAGCAAGUGGCAGUGGGAGCAGGUGCCAUGGUGGGCAGGUACAGCAGGGGAGCAGGUGCUAGGGCAUGCUGACACUGGG